GAAAAGAUACAGAACUUCAGACAAAACACUGACUCUAUAGCAUCAUAUGGAUUUUGUUAUUGUUCAGCAUGUAUUACUACUAUCAUAGUUUAUAUGUGAGAAAUCCAUGGGAAGAAGAGGCAGUGGUGAAAAUCCCGCAAAAAUUAAUCUAAUAUCAAAGCUGAAAUUGAAGAAAAUAUACUGGUAAGCAUUUCUCAAACAUAAAGAAUUGGAUUUGCUACUGCUAUACUUGUCCAUGUACAAGUUUGUUUUUUUUUUUUUAAUUUUUUUUGGAAUGCCACUCUAUUCUUUGAUAUUUAAUUAUUUUUCAUUCUAAUCCUCACACAGCCUAUUCUAGGUUUUAGAUCAAAAUAUUAAUAAUAACUAUUAAUUUUCAUCUUGUAUUCUGAGACGAAAUAUGGUAUUACGUAUCACGGUAUAUCGUAGUAGAAAAAAUAAUACAAAACUCUCUCCUUCACAGGCAUUUAGUAUUUAAAAAGUACAAGGGAAUCAUCUUACCUAAGAACAACAGAGGAUUUUAGCAUACAUACCUAUUAUGAAGACAAGGGAAUUUUAACUGUCCUAAAGCAUAAGAAAAAGAGAGAGACCUUCUCAUUCUGCAAAGCAGAUUUUAGAUGAGAGUUGACUGUCUCUUCUACAAUUCAGGUUUACAAGUGUAAUCCCACUUCAAAUACUUUGCUGUCUUAUUAAUGCAUGAAUUUCUCAGAAUUGCACUAUCUGUAGCAAUCAAGUUCUUCGUACCAGGGACUGAAGAAGUCAAAUCAAGCGUCAUCACCUCUGAGUUAUCACCACCUCUAUUUACCAACCUAAAAGUGCACUCAGUCAUCACUAACUUCUUUAAAAUUACCUGGCUUGAAAAAACC
rnacentral:lncRNA from 1 species